AAACUCUUCUGUAUUUCUUUAUCUAAUAUAUACUGUCUGAGUAAAAACUAAAAUGAAUCAAAACUUUCAACAACGGAUCUCUUGGUUCUGGCAUCGAUGAAGAACGCAGCGAAAUGCGAUAAGUAAUGUGAAUUGCAGAAUUCAGUGAAUCAUCGAA
rnacentral:rRNA from 1 species